rnacentral:rRNA from 1 species
GCUUCUCUUGAGAGCGGCGGACGGGUGAGUAAUGCCUAGGAAUCUGCCUGGUAGUGGGGGAUAACGUCCGGAAACGGACGCUAAUACCGCAUACGUCCUACGGGAGAAAGCAGGGGACCUUCGGGCCUUGCGCUAUCAGAUGAGCCUAGGUCGGAUUAGCUAGUUGGUGGGGUAAUGGCUCACCAAGGCGACGAUCCGUAACUGGUCUGAGAGGAUGAUCAGUCACACUGGAACUGAGACACGGUCCAGACUCCUACGGGAGGCAGCAGUGGGGAAUAUUGGACAAUGGGCGAAAGCCUGAUCCAGCCAUGCCGCGUGUGUGAAGAAGGUCUUCGGAUUGUAAAGCACUUUAAGUUGGGAGGAAGGGCAGUAAAUUAAUACUUUGCUGUUUUGACGUUACCGACAGAAUAAGCACCGGCUAACUCUGUGCCAGCAGCCGCGGUAAUACAGAGGGUGCAAAGCGUUAAUCGGAAUUACUGGGCGUAAAGCGCGCGUAGGUGGUUCGUUAAGUUGGGAUGUGAAAUCCCCGGGCUCA